rnacentral:rRNA from 1 species
GCGCACGGGUGCGUAACGCGUAUGCAACCUACCUUUUACUAGAGUAUAGCCCAGAGAAAUUUGGAUUAAUCCUCUAUAAUAUCUUUUAAUUUCAUGAUUUUAAGAUUAAAGUUUUAACGGUAAAAGAUGGGCAUGCGUCCCAUUAGUUUGUAGGUGAGGUAACGGCUCACCUAGACUACGAUAGGUAGGGGCCCUGAGAGGGGGAUCCCCCACACUGGUACUGAGACACGGACCAGACUCCUACGGGAGGCAGCAGUAAGGAAUAUUGGACAAUGGACGAAAGUCUGAUCCAGCCAUGCCGCGUGCAGGAUGACAGCCCUACGGGUUGUAAACUGCUUUUAUACAGGAAGAAACACUCCGACGUGUCGGAGCUUGACGGUACUGUAAGAAUAAGGAUCGGCUAACUCCGUGCCAGCAGCCGCGGUAAUACGGAGGAUCCAAGCGUUAUCCGGAAUCAUUGGGUUUAAAGGGUCCGCAGGCUGUUUUUUAAGUCAGAGGUGAAAUCCUGCAGCUCAACUGUAGAACUGCCUUUGAUACUGGAAAACUUGAGUUAUUGUGAAGUGGUUAGAAUGUGUGGUGUAGCGGUGAAAUGCAUAGAUAUCACACAGAAUACCGAUUGCGAAGGCAGAUCACUAACAAUAUACUGACGCUCAUGGACGAAAGCGUGGGGAGCGAACAGGAUUAGAUACCCUGGUAGUCCACGCCGUAAACGAUGGAUACUAGCUGUUCGUCUAACAUUGGUUAGAUGAGUGGCUAAGCGAAAGUGAUAAGUAUCCC